GCGGUUGUGACCGAGCGGCUAGGUAACGGUCUGCAAAGCCGGGAACGUGAGUUCGACGCGGGUUCGACUCCCGCCAACCGCU
rnacentral:tRNA from 1 species